AGUACUGUUGCACCAAGAAGUUUCCGGUCCCGGUACAGAUCAGUGAGGAAGAGGCUAUUGACAAGUGUGGAUUUGCCCAGGCCAGACUCUCCUGAGAGGAGAGAGGACAGAGGCACCAAAUCAGAAGGGACCCUUCUCUGGGCUGUCUGAUAGUCUGCAGAGACACAGCUGCUUCCGUGCUCUAGGAGAGAGGGACUCCUUGGAGAUCUGAUCUCACUAGUAGUCGUAAUUCUUUGGAUGGGCUCAGUUUGUACUGCUUCAUCCUUUGGGUAAGACAAAAUCCUACGGGGAACUCUGACUCCUUGGGGGUUCUGGACCUUGGAUGGUGGGUCAUCUUCUAAGAUUUGUGAUUGUAAGUUAUUCUUCUGGUCUUGAAAACUCAACUGAUGAGUAGAUUUGGCAUCUGGGAUUGAUGAAGCAUGAUGGCCGACCUCGCGCCCUGACUUG
rnacentral:lncRNA from 1 species